rnacentral:rRNA from 1 species
AAUGGCCGUUAACAGAGGGAAGCAAUCCCGCGAGGAGGAGCAAAACCCUAAAAACGGUCUCAGUUCGGACUGCAGGCUGCAACCCGCCUGCACGAAGUUGGAAUUGCUAGUAAUCGCGGAUCAGCAUGCCGCGGUGAAUACGUUCCCGGGUCUUGUACACACCGCCCGUCACACCAUGGGAGCCGGUAAUACCCGAAGUCAGUAGUUUAACCCUUGUGGAGGACGCUGCCGAAGGUAGGAUUGGCGACUGGGGUGAAGUCGUAACAAGGUAUC